UACGGGGGGAGCAAGCGUUGUUCGGAUUUACUGGGCGUAAAGGGCGCGUAGGCGGACAGUUUAGUCAGAGGUGAAAGCCCAGGGCUCAACCUUGGAAUUGCCUUUGAUACUGGCUGUCUUGAGUUCGGGAGAGGUGAGUGGAAUGCCGAGUGUAGAGGUGAAAUUCGUAGAUAUUCGGAGGAACACCAGUGGCGAAGGCGGCUCACUGGUCCGGUACUGACGCUGAGGUGCGAAAGCGUGGGGAGCAAACAGG
rnacentral:rRNA from 1 species